UACGAAGGGGGCUAGCGUUGUUCGGAAUUACUGGGCGUAAAGCGCACGCAGGCGGCGAUUUAAGUCAGGGGUGAAAGCCUGGGGCUCAACCCCAGAACUGCCCUUGAGACUGGAUGGCUGGAGUGCGGGAGAGGUGAGUGGAAUUCCCAGUGUAGAGGUGAAAUUCGUAGAUAUUGGGAAGAACACCCGUGGCGAAGGCGGCUCACUGGCCCGUUACUGACGCUCAGGCACGAUAGCGUGGGGAGCAAACAGG
rnacentral:rRNA from 1 species